rnacentral:rRNA from 1 species
GAUGAACGCUGGCGGCGUGCCUAAUACAUGCAAGUCGAGCGAACAGACGAGGAGCUUGCUCCUCUGACGUUAGCGGCGGACGGGUGAGUAACACGUGGAUAACCUACCUAUAAGACUGGGAUAACUUCGGGAAACCGGAGCUAAUACCGGAUAAUAUAUUGAACCGCAUGGUUCAAUAGUGAAAGACGGCUUUGCUGUCACUUAUAGAUGGAUCCGCGCCGCAUUAGCUAGUUGGUAAGGUAACGGCUUACCAAGGCAACGAUGCGUAGCCGACAUGAGAGGGUGAUCGGCCACACUGGAACUGAGACACGGUCCAGACUCCUACGGGAGGCAGCAGUCGGGAAUCUUCCGCAAUGGGCGAAAGCUUGACGGAGCAACGCCGCGUGAGUGAUGAAGGUCUUCGGAUCGUAAAGCUCUCUUAUUAGGAAAGAAAAAAUGUGUAAGAAACUAUGCACGUCUUGACGGUACCUAAUCAGAAAGCCACGGCUAACUACGUG